rnacentral:rRNA from 1 species
UAGAAGAGAUAAUGCUAAAAUUAGUAAUAAGAGGAUAUAGAUCCUCUCCUAGCACACGUGUAAGUCAGACCGGACAAACCACUGACAAUUAACGAACCCAAUAAACAGAGGGAAAAACAAUAUAAUAAUAAAUUAAACAAGAAAAACCUGCAAGACUAACCGUUAAACCAACACAGGAGUGCUACAAGGAAAGAUUAAAAGGAGAAGAAGGAACUCGGCAAACACAAACCCCGCCUGUUUACCAAAAACAUCGCCUCUUGCUAAUAAAAUGUAUUAGAGGUCCCGCCUGCCCUGUGACUAUAAGUUUAACGGCCGCGGUAUUAUGACCGUGUGAAGGUAGCGUAAUCACUUGUCUUUUAAAUGAAGACCCGUAUGAAUGGCACGACGAGGGUUUAACUGUCUCCUUCCCCCAAUCAAUGAAAUUGAUCUACCCGUGCAGAAGCGGGUAUAAUAACAUAAGACGAGAAGACCCUAUGGAGCUUUAGGCUAAGGGUUAAACAUGUUAAAAGAACUAAAAUUUUAAAUCUACUUGAACAAUAAAAAGUCAUAAACCAAAUGUAAAAUAACCCAAAUGCCUUCGGUUGGGGCGACCAUGGGGAAAAAAGAAACCCCCACAUGGAAUGGAGAUACUCUCCUAAACCAAGAAAAUCAAUUCUAAGUAAUAGAACAUCUAACCAAAAAUGACCCAGGAACAAACAUCCUGAUCAAUGAACCAAGUUACCCUAGGGAUAACAGCGCAAUCCUUUCCCAGAGCCCAUAUCGACGAAAGGGUUUACGACCUCGAUGUUGGAUCAGGACAUCCUAAUGGUGCAGCCGCUAUUAAGGGUUCGUUUGUUCAACGAUUAAUAGUCCUACGUGAUCUGAGUUCAGACCGGAGUAAUCCAGGUCGGUUUCUAUCUAUGAGACCACUUCUUCCCAGUACGAAAGGACCGGAAAAAGGGGGCCCAUGCUAAAAGCAAGCCCCACCCCUACCUUUUGAAAACAAAUAAAAAA